rnacentral:rRNA from 1 species
AUACGGAGGGUGCAAGCGUUAAUCGGAAUUACUGGGCGUAAAGCGCGCGUAGGCGGCUGAUUAAGUCGGAUGUGAAAUCCCUGGGCUCAACCUAGGAACUGCAUCCGAUACUGGUCAGCUAGAGUUUUGGAGAGGUAAGUGGAAUUUCCGGUGUAGCGGUGAAAUGCGUAGAGAUCGGAAGGAACACCAGUGGCGAAGGCGACUUACUGGCCAAAAACUGACGCUGAGGUGCGAAAGCGUGGGUAGCGAACAGGAUUAGAAACCCUUGUAGUCC